rnacentral:rRNA from 1 species
UACGAAGGGGCUAGCGUUGCUCGGAAUCACUGGGCGUAAAGGGUGCGUAGGCGGGUCUUUAAGUCAGGGGUGAAUCCUGGAGCUCAACUCCAGAACUGCCUUGAUACUGAAGAUCUUGAGUUCGGGAGAGGUGAGUGGAACUGCGAGUGUAGAGGUGAAAUUCGUAGAUAUUCGCAAGAACACCAGUGGCGAAGGCGGCUCACUGGCCCGAUACUGACGCUGAGGCACGAAAGCGUGGGAGCAACAGG